UUAGAAUGCUUCCCUAUUUGCCAUUGAGCUAAACUUUGUUUCCCUUCUUGACAUCCCUAUUCAUUCGGUCAUGGUCCAUUAACCUAAUUUUUUUUCAUAUUACCUAAACUGCCCUUACCCCAUCUUCUCCUCCCUGUAUUCUCUUGUUCCAUCCUCUCCCCCAAAUGGAUCUGUAUCUCGCAGCUCUCCCUCCCUCCCUCCCCCCCCCCCCUCUCUCUCUCCUCCCCACCUUCUCCAAUCACAAAACUCUAGAUCGAGGGACAGAUGUCGCGCCUCCAAGGGAGCAGGUCCAGGUGCCGUCUCAGGCGCUAGGCUGGCCCCUGGCUGGAUCAGGAGCAGUGGCGCCAUGCGCCUACCCCUGCAGGAGGAGCAGCGGGCGUCCGCGGAGCCACAGCAAGCGGAGCGGUGGGCGCCAGGUGUAGCCCAUCUGGGAGCGACUACUAGCAGGAGGCCGAGCUCCCAGUGCUAGGUGUAGGGCUGGCCCCCGGCGAGACGGGAGCCUGGCCCGAGCAAGCGGAGUACCGGGAGCCUGGCCCAAAUUUUACAGCAGAGUUUCUACCGAGGACACAGGGGGACUGGGAGGUAUGAAGCCCACCUCUGGGACAAUAGCUGCAGAAAGGAUGGGCAGACAAGGAAAGGAAGGCAAGUUGAUAUCUAGAAUAUCCAAAAUAAAUAAAUGAUGUAGCAAAAUUUAUGCAUUUAUACCUCUUUCUGAUAUUUUGAUUCCUCUUCUUAGGUACUUACACCGAUCAUGCCUUUUAUUGUCCUAAUUACUCGUUCCAAGCUGUGGCCAGCUCCAAAAGUAACAUCCAAGGUAAAGGCUUAUCUGAGAGAUUGCCUGCUCCGCCACUAGCUGCGGUCGCUACAUCUUCGAAACUAAAGUUACCGUGAUAGAGUGCAGCUGUGAGGUCAGGCUUGAGCAGUGGCGGAGGACGAAAAAAAUUUAAGGCCUUGCUAGUUGCUGCGCAGCUCGCAUGUAUAUGCCUUCACCAAUCACCACUCUCUCCCCCUAUGGCCGGCAUUGAGGCCUAUCAUGCAGUUUGGUCAUGGCUGCCAUAUUAGCUAUUGGGCCAAGCAGGCCAGCAGUAACAGCGGGUAAUAAAUGGGCGGCCCACAAAACUAGAUAGCAAUCGUGGCUUUCUUAUUCGUGUGUCUCUUCCACUCGCUUGUAGCUAUGCGUCCAUGGAAGCUAGCAUGAUGCCACAGCUAGAACCCGAUAGUUAGCAGCGACUUGACGAAAAAUCAAGGUAUGGUAAGCGCCAUACCUCGCCAUACCGGGUCCUCCGCCCCUGGGCUUGAGGUAUCAGGUAGUGGCACGAACUUCAGGUUAGAGAAGCUAUUGAUAGAGACGCAGAAGCGGCGGAUGUUGGUCUCGUUGGAGGCAUUGCGGAGCCACCACAUGCAGGUGAGUGUGGCACAAACAAGGCAAGAAGGGCAGUGGAUGCGUUAAAGGAUCUGAUCUAGAAGAUCGUUAUUGGUGAGUACCUUAUUGGCAGCGGUGUCUUCCUCCUCAAGCAAUGGGGAAAGCAUCACCGCUGUAGAAGAGAUAACUCUCGCACGGGAUUGUGGUUUCUUAGCUAUUCAUGUUCUAAUUUCCACCUUAAUGUUGCUACUCUUAUAGGGCUCGACUCUUAUUGUGAACUAGCAGCUGUCACCAAAACAAAAUUUGUACUUAUCUUUGCCGCAGACCAUCCCCACCUUAGUGCUACCUCCAAUGAUACAUGUCAUCCAUGCCACCAUCAAAGCAUCUGUAGCGGCAUGACAGCUACAAUAUUGUUUACAUUUGUCAUCCAACCACCACCAUGCAAACACCAUGUUCACCACAUGUUCUAUGCUAAUCUAAUACGUGUCCCCCACCGCUAACACUUGUCGUUUUUCCUUAAGGUAAUUGCUUGCCGUGUAAGCUCUCUUCAAUCCAUUUGUCAACACUAACUUACUCUUUUUGCUCUAUUAGCUGUCAUGCAAAUACUACAAUGCAUCGAAGGGUCAAAAAGUGGACUGCACACAUCCUUCCUCCUAUACCUCUCAAAACACAAAAAGUAUCAGACAUGAUUGGAGAAUAAAUAAAUGACAAUAACCAGUGUGAUGCUCUCGAGAGUUGUCCAUUAAACUUAUUAAUUGGAUCCCAAAGAUUAAAAAAUUAUUGAUUAUAUGUAUACGGAAGAUAACUUUUCCAUUAUCAAAAAAAGGAAUGUAUGCAUCUGCCUAAAUUACAAGCUGUUACUAUAUAUGAUGGAGUGAUAAUCUCUGGCAUAUGUCUCUAUCUCUUUAUUUCUUCAAUACAAUUGUAAUUUGCUUGCAUAGCACGUUUAUACAGUAGUGUGUGUG